rnacentral:sRNA from 1 species
GCUUCUAAGGCCUGUGUAUAUAGCGCAGAUACGUACAUAGUGUAAGCGAGAAGAGAGAAUCAGGUUACGAGUACUAGGUGUCACUAGCUGCUAACUGCGAGAUCAUUAUCGAGUUUUUAAAUCGAGAGGCUUGAUGCUGCCUGUCUGCUGUAAUACACAGCACUGUGCUCGGCCUUCGUGCUUAAUCCACUCAACACCUGUGCACCUUAUCGAAGUUAGUAGUCUUUCCUCCUUAGUUGGAGCCGCCGGGGUUGACUUUGUUAGUAGUGUUUCGACGCGAAAGCAUAUGGUCGGCCUUGGCUGGGAUUGACGAACACUUUGACUUCAUCAUACACACUUUAAUUGUCUUGUAGAAUGUAAUGCUCCUUGUGGGCGAAAUGAAAUACAACUUUCAACAACGGAUCUCUUGGCUCUCGCAUCGAUGAAAAACGCACCGAAAUGCGAUAAGUAAUGUGAAUUGCAGAAUUCAGUGAAUCAUCGAAUCUUUGAACGCACCUUGCGCCCCUUGGUAUUCCGAGGGGCAUGCCUGUUUGAGUGUCAUGUUAACAUCAAACCCCUUGCUUGUAAAGGCUCGGGGCUUGGAUAUGGAGAUUUGUGUCGGCCUGCUUCAUUGUCAGUUGUCGGCUCCUCUUAAAUGGAUUAGCUCGACUUUGGUCUGCGUGUCGGUGUGAUAGUUUAUUCACCAAUCGCUUUCCUAAUGGGGUCUGCUUUCUCAUGGGUCUUUUGGACGACGGUCUCUUAUCAGCCCUUUCUUCGAAGUCUUCUGAGCAUCUAAAUCAGCGUAGGGAACUUACCUACCGCCUGCGAACAUUAUAAGUGCAGAUUAUUACAA